AUUGAGCGCUGGCGGCAUGCUUUACACAUGCAAGUCGAACGGUAACAGGCCGCAAGGUGCUGACGAGUGGCGAACGGGUGAGUAACGCAUCGGAACGUGCCCAGUCGUGGGGGAUAACGCAGCGAAAGCUGUGCUAAUACCGCAUACGAGCUAUGGAUGAAAGCGGGGGACCGUAAGGCCUCGCGCGAUUGGAGCGGCCGAUGUCAGAUUAGGUAGUUGGUGGGGUAAAGGCCCACCAAGCCAACGAUCUGUAGCUGGUCUGAGAGGACGACCUGCCACACUGGGGCUGAGACACGGCCCAGACUCCUACGGGAGGCAGCAGUGGGGAAUUUUGGACAAUGGGCGCAAGCCUGAUCCAGCAAUGCCGCGUGCAGGAAGAAGGCCUUCGGGUUGUAAACUGCUUUUGUACGGAACGAAACGGUCUGGGUUAAUACCCUGGGCUAAUGACGGUACCGUAAGAAUAAGCACCGGCUAACUACGUGCCAGCAGCCGCGGUAACAC
rnacentral:rRNA from 1 species